rnacentral:snoRNA from 1 species
AUCACCUCACCUGAACAGGAUCUGUUCUACAGGCUUGUACCACUAAUUUUUUGGUCAUAAAAAUUCAUAUUGUGCCUCAAACUCACAAUUUUCGAUUGAAAGUAAAAGUGCUUACCAUCCAAACAACUCGAACUCGCUAAGGAAAUCAAGUUUGGUGGAUGACUCAUGGCCAUUAGACACGGAGUGUGAUUAACAGCACCCAUGGCCUUCGGGUCUAAGUGUCGUAGAUGAUCGUUGCUCGGGAUGGUCUAAUUGCCUUCUGACAGACU